rnacentral:rRNA from 1 species
CACGAUGGACAACUCACGCGCAAUGAGCUCGAUCUCGUCUGAUCUUGCAAGCUAAGCAGCCUCGAGCCUGGAUAGUGCUGGCAUUGGCGCCGGCGAUGCACGCCAGGUUGUCACGCGC